AGCAGCCGCGGUAAUUCCAACUCCAAUAGCGUAUAUUAAAGUUGUUGCAGUUAAAAAGCUCGUAGUUGAAUUUCGGGAUCAAUAUGUCGGUCGUGCCUCGGUACGUACUGGCGUCAUUGGUUUCUCCCUUCUGAAGAACCGCGAUGUCAUUAAUUUGGUGUCGUGGGGAAUCAGGACUGUUACUUUGAAAAAAUUAGAGUGUUUAAAGCAGGCUCGCGCUUGAAUACAUUAGCAUGGAAUAAUGAAAUAGGACGUUUGAUUCUAUUUUGUUGGUUUCUAGGAUCGACGUAAUGAUUAAUAGGGAUAGUUGGGGGCAUUAGUAUUCAAUUGUCAGAGGUGAAAUUCUUGGAUUUAUUGAAGACUAACUACUGCGAAAGCAUUUACCAAGGAUGUUUUCAUUAAUCAAGAACGAAAGUUAGGGGAUCGAAGACGAUCAGAUACCGUCGUAGUCUUAACCAUAAACUAUGCCGACUAGGGAUUGGAUGAUGUUAAUUUUUUAAUGACUCAUUCGGCGCCUUAC
rnacentral:rRNA from 1 species